rnacentral:snRNA from 1 species
AUCGCUUCUCAGCCUUUUGUCUAAGAUCAAGUGUAGUUAUCUGUUCUUAUCAGUUUAAUAUCUGAUACAUCCUCUAUCCAAUUUUCAUUCAUUAGCUUGGCAACUUUUAAAGUAAUCAUACCAAUUGCUGACAAGGAAUAAAUCUGUUGCACCAAUCUACAGAGUAAUUUAAUGUUAUCUAGUAAGGUUAGGGGACU